rnacentral:lncRNA from 1 species
CAAAGACCCUGGAAUACUAGACUUGAAAACAAUAGCAGUUUAAAUAUUACGUAGUUUGUGAAGCCUUUUGCAAUUCUCCCAAUCAGAAUAAACCAGCCUCUAAUCCAUGGACUCAGAAUGAAUGAAUGGUCUACUGCCACCCUUGUCACAGGGGACCAAGCAACCUUGGAGAAUCCACCUGCAACAUUCCUCAGAGAAGCUGCAACAUUACUUUAAAAGAAGUUACAGCAGUGCAUACUAUUGUUGCUUUCCUACAAUGUAGCAAACAGAAACUUUGGUUCCAGAAUGUUCCUGAAUAUAACACAGUAAAAUUUCUUGAUAGGAGUGCUUCACAAAAGAUGUCAUUGAAGAUACCCAGUUUGGAAGUUAAGGCAUUGGCUCUGACAUUACUUUUGCCCCAUCUAAGCUUAGUUUGGUAGAGUCAUAUAUAGGGCAGGAUCUAGCUAAUAAUUGUCCUUAACUCAAAAGCAUAAUCUUAUUUCAGGUAGAAAGCCACACUAACUUAAUUGCCAACCAGAUAAAUGGUGAUCACUUGAAAUCUGUUUUAUACUUAUAAAUAAAUCUUGAAAUAUUAAUUAUCCGUGCUUAAAAG